CUCAUAAAAAAAAAAAAAAAAAAAAAAAAAAAAAAAAAAAAAAAAGAAAGAAAAAGAAAAGAGAAAGGAAAAAAGACUUCAUCAAAAAUCCUCUCUCAGCCAGGGGUCGAGCCCUUACCACAGCAGUGACAACACUGGAUCCCGUAAGCACUAGGCCACCAGGGAACUCCUGGCACUGUCAUUCUUCAGAUUCCCGGUCGUCCGUUCCGUUCCGUUUCCCCGCCUGUCUCAUUUUUUAAAAAAUAGUUGGUUUUGUUUGAUUCGGGCUCCGAACAAGAUCCGUAUGUUUCAUUUAGUUCAUGAUUAGUCUCAGCGUCUCUGUUAAUAAAGAUUAUCCUCAUUCCUAAAGGAAUUAUAUGUUGCAGUUCUGCCCUGUAGAGUGACGUCGCUGCCCCCCCCAUCUCCUGACAGCUGCUGUCAAGCUUUCCUGAGUUUUGUGGAACCGUGUUGUGAUUUUCGAGGCUUCUGCAUUAUUUCUGUUGUCUUUGUGGUUUAAUGUAACCCGUCAUGUUUUUCCUUCCUUCGAUAAGUCUUUCUUGAGAGCCUCCUCUGUGCCAGGCGCUGUACCAGGCCCUGGGCAUCCGGCUGCGAACAGACAGGCUCUCGAGGAGCAUACAGUCUGAGCCCUGCGAGGGUUGUGGGUCUGCUCACUGUCCCCCAGCCCGUGUGCAUCCCAGCCAAGUUGAUGACCACGACGCCCGUCCCUUCUGUGCUCACCCAUCGGCCACGCCAAGGGCUUCGUCUUCAUGUUCUCAUGCUGUCCUUUUAUGUGGUUGAUAAGUGGUGUCCCCAGUACUGAUGAAGAGCCCCGGGUGUGCCUUCUAUGGAAGGCCCCUGUUUCAGAGCCCCGCCCUGGGAUUCCAGCAGUGUCACCAAGGGACUGUGUGUGUGUCCAUUCGAAACUCUUGGGCUUGAGCCUUUGUAGCUAAGCAGGGUAACAUGGAACUCCUGCUUAACUGGCGGAUUGUCCAGAGGCUGACCAAAAACAUCUGGAAGGUGCCCGGAGCUGUUCAGGGGCUCGGCGCCUGCCAAGCCCUGCUAGUGUGUUCUUUGAGCAGGUGGAUUUGCGGUGGGUUGGGGCUUUUGCUGUAAUGAUUAGGCUACCUGCCUAAAGAAGCCUGCUUUCUCAACCUGCUUUUCUUUGCUGGGCAGGAUGGUGUUCGGGGUGACCGUGCUGCCUCUGGCAGAAUCUAGUGGUACAGUUCAGGCUUGUCUUGCUAAUAAGACUCUCACUGAUUUGCAUUUCUCUGAAUAAAUCAUAAGAUUUAUGUUUGGCCACUGUGACGUUUGGGUUUGAGAAUGGUCCAUGAUUCUUGUAUUUUUCCAGUUCAAAUGUAGCUCUCGUGCAGUUUUUGGUGGAUUAUAGCAUUUGAGCCUUUCAAAAAAAAAAAAUUCUCAGUUAGGAGUUCCUGCUGUGGCACAGCGGGUUAAUGAUUGGCUUGUCUCUGUGGAGGUGCAGGUUCGAUGCCCAACCCGGCACAGUGGGUUAAGGAUCUGGCAUUGCUACAGCUGUAGGUCGAAGCUCUGGCUUGGAUUUGAUCCCUGGCCCGGGAACUCCCAUAUACUGUGGGGGCAGCUGAAAAAGGAAAAAAAAAAA
rnacentral:lncRNA from 1 species